rnacentral:rRNA from 1 species
AUUGAACGCUGGCGGCAGGCCUAACACAUGCAAGUCGAGCGGAUGAAGGGAGCUUGCUCCUGGAUGCAGCGGCGGACGGGUGAGUAAUUCCUAGGAAUCUGCCUUGUCGUUGGGGAUAACGUCCGGAAACGGGCGCUAAUACCGCAUACGUCCUGAGUGAGAAAGUGGGGGAUCUUCGGACCUCACGCUAUCAGCUGAGCCUAAGUCGGAUUAGCUAGUUGGUUUGGUAAAGGCCUACCAAGGCGACGAUCCGUAACUGGUCUGAGAGGAUGAUCAGUCACACUGGAACUGAGACACGGUCCAGACUCCUACGGGAGGCAGCAGUGGGGAAUAUUGCACAAUGGGCGAAAGCCUGAUCCAGCCAUGCCGCGUGUGUGAAGAAGGUCUUCGGAUUGUAAAGCACUUUAAGUUGGGAGGAAGAGAAGUAAGUUAAUACCUUGCUGUUUUGACGUUACCAACAGAAUAAGCACCGGCUAACUUCGUG